rnacentral:rRNA from 1 species
UACAGAGGUCUCAAGCGUUGUUCGGAUUCAUUGGGCGUAAAGGGUGCGUAGGCGGCGCGGUAAGUCGGGUGUGAAAUCUUGGAGCUUAACUCCGAAACUGCAUUCGAUACUGCCGUGCUUGAGGACUGGAGAGGAGACUGGAAUUUACGGUGUAGCAGUGAAAUGCGUAGAGAUCAUGAGGAAGACCAGUGGCGAAGGCGGGGUCUCUGGACAGUUCCUGACACUGAGACACGAAGGCCAGGGGAGCAAACGGG